rnacentral:rRNA from 1 species
AACCCUACGGGGGGCCGCAGUAGGGAAUCUUCCACAAUUUUCUCAAGCCUUAUGGAGCAACGCCGCGUGGGUGAAGAAGGUCUUCGGAUCGUAAAACCCUGUUGUUAGAGAAGAAAGUGCGUGAGAGUAACUGUUCACGUUUCGACGGUAUCUAACCAGAAAGCCACGGCUAACUACGUGCCAGCAGCCGCGGUAAUACGUAGGUGGCAAGCGUUAUCCGGAUUUAUUGGGCGUAAAGGGAACGCAGGCGGUCUUUUAAGUCUGAUGUGAAAGCCUUCGGCUUAACCGGAGUAGUGCAUUGGCAA